rnacentral:rRNA from 1 species
UGGCCCAGAUCGUUUACCGUGAAAAAAUUAGAGUGUUCAAAGCAGGCAGAUCCAAUUUUCUGCCACCGAAUACAUUAGCAUGGGAUAAUGGAAUAGGACCCUGUCCUCCUAUUUUCAGUUGGUUUUGGCAGCGCGAGGACUAGGGUAAUGAUUAAUAGGGAUAGUUGGGGGCAUUAAUAUUUAAUUGUCAGAGGUGAAAUUCUUGGAUUUAUGAAAGAUUAACUUCUGCGAAAGCAUCUGCCAAGGAUGUUUUCAUUAAUCAAGAACGAAAGUUAGGGGAUCGAAGACGAUCAGAUACCGUCGUAGUCUUAACCAUAAACGAUGCCGACCAGCGAUUAGGAGACGUUGAAUACAAAACACCACCAUCGGCGCGGUCGUCCUUGGCGUCGGUCCUUCACGGGGCCGGCGCGAGGGCGGCUAGCCC